GAUCAACGCUGACAGAAUGCUUAACACAUGCAAGUCGAUGGGGAAGUGGUGCUUGCACCAUGGCAACCAUGGCGGACGGGUGAGUAACGCGUAAGGGACUUACCUGCAGGACUGGGAUAACAGGGGGAAACUCCUGACAAGACCGGAUAAUGUCAUGGAGCUGCAUGGCUUUAUGAUGAAAGGAGACGCCUGCGGAGAGCCUUGCGUCCUAUUAGCUAGUUGGUGAGGUAAUGGCUCACCAAGGCGAAGAUAGGUAGCCGGCCUGAGAGGGUGGACGGCCACAAGGGGACUGAGAUACGGCCCUUACUCCUACGGGAGGCAGCAGUGGGGAAUAUUGGACAAUGGGGGCAACCCUGAUCCAGCAAUUCUGUGUGCACGAAGAAGGUUUUCGGAUUGUAAAGUGCUUUCAGCAGGGAAGAAGUAAGUGACGGUACCUGCAGAAGAAGCGACGGCUAAAUACGUG
rnacentral:rRNA from 1 species